rnacentral:rRNA from 1 species
UACGUAGGGACCAAGCGUUGUCCGGAAUCAUUGGGCGUAAAGCGCGCGUAGGUGGCCAUUUAAGUCCGCUGUGAAAGUCAAAGGCUCAACCUUUGAAAGCCGGUGGAUACUGGAUGGCUAGAGUACGGAAGAGGCGAGUGGAAUUCCUGGUGUAGCGGUGGAAUGCGCAGAUAUCAGGAGGAACACCAAUAGCGAAGGCAGCUCGCUGGGACGUUACUGACGCUGAGGCGCGAAAGCGUGGGGAGCAAACAGG